CAGGGAGACAACAAAAUGUUUAAUAUUAUUAUUUUGUCACCUUAGGUCGAUCGGUAUCUCACGUUUUUAAUUUAUUAAAAAUUUCAUUUCCUAAGUUUUUCUAGGUCACACCCAUUAUUUUUCCUGGGCCAUUAGCUCAGGUGGUUAGAGCGCACCCCUGAUAAGGGUGAGGUCCCUGGUUCAAGUCCAGGAUGGCCCAUAUCUCUAUGUUGGGGGUAUAGCUCAGUUGGUAGAGCGCCUGCUUUGCAAGCAGGAUGUCAGCGGUUCGAGUCCGCUUACCUCCACUGAUUACCACCUCUUCCAUAACCGGUAGGAAGGAAAUGUUUUGAGUUGUGAUCAAAUUCUGAAAGAAUCUAGCUUCCUAAUGAAAUCAUUAAGAUGCUGGACUCAUUGAAUAAAUUUCAUUGUUUUCAGAGAACCUUGACAACUGCAUAGAUUAUUUUUAAAGACAAUAAGCAUCUUUAAUGAUGCAGAUUUUUUAUUUGUGCGAAUGCAUUAAUAACAAUUCUAUUAAGCUGAUGCUUCAAUUUUUGAAGUUAUU
rnacentral:tRNA from 1 species